CCUUAACGAGAAUCUGAUACGGUUCCAGUCAGACCGGAGGAGAAAGACGCUAAUACAGCUUCGCAACC
rfam:Nematostella vectensis strain CH2 x CH6 NEMVEscaffold_29_Cont5216, whole genome shotgun sequence.